CCUACGGGAGGCAGCAGUGGGGAGUAUUGCGCAAUGGGCGAAAGCCUGACGCAGCGACGCCGCGUGGGGGAUGAAGGCCUUCGGGUUGUAAACCCCUUUCAGCAGGGACGAAGCGAAAGUGACGGUACCUGCAGAAGAAGCGCCGGCUAACUACGUGCCAGCAGCCGCGGUAACACGUAGGGCGCAAGCGUUGUCCGGAAUUAUUGGGCGUAAAGAGCUCGUAGGCGGUCUGUUGCGUCUGCUGUGAAAACUCGGGGCUUAACCCCGAGCCUGCAGUGGAUACGGGCAGACUAGAGGUAGGUAGGGGAGAAUGGAAUUCCCGGUGUAGCGGUGAAAUGCGCAGAUAUCGGGAGGAACACCGGUGGCGAAGGCGGUUCUCUGGGCCUUACCUGACGCUGAGGAGCGAAAGCGUGGGGAGCGAACAGGAUUAGAUACCCUGGUAGUCCACGCCGUAAACGUUGGGCGCUAGGUGUGGGAUCCUUCCACGGAUUCCGUGCCGCAGCUAACGCAUUAAGCGCCCCGCCUGGGGAGUACGGCCGCAAGGCUAAAACUCAAAGGAAUUGACGG
rnacentral:rRNA from 1 species